UACAGAGGUCUCAAGCGUUGUUCGGAUUCAUUGGGCGUAAAGGGUGCGUAGGUGGCGGGGCAAGUUUGGUGUGAAAUCCCGGGGCUCAACCCCGGAACUGCAUUGAAUACUGCCUUGCUAGAGCACUGGAGAGGGAACUGGAAUUUACGGUGUAGCAGUGAAAUGCGUAGAUAUCGUAAGGAAGACCAGUGGCGAAGGCGAGUUCCUGGACAGUUGCUGACACUGAGGCACGAAGGCUAGGGGAGCAAACGGG
rnacentral:rRNA from 1 species